UAUAAAUAAUUUAUUUCUUGAUAUACUAUUGCUACUACAGUGUGCUUUUCAAACACAGAUAUGGAAUUUGAAAUUUUAGUUUGGGGCUACAGAAAAAUUAAGCUAUAAAAGUCUGAAAUUCCUAACUGUAUUUGAUAUUAAAGAAAAGCACGUUAAAAGAACCAUUUCCCCACUUUUAUAAUCAAAAUUUUGAACUCAACAAGUCUAGACAAAAAUUUGAUCACAGCUUGAAAGAGCAUCACAAAAUUAGUAAUAUUCCAAAGUUUCGUUGGAAAAUGGAGUAAAAUGCGGAUAUAGCCUAGCCUUGCGAAGUUUGCAAUUUUCAG